CAUUUGUUCUCUAAAUAAGGACUUGUAUGAAUGGCCACACGAGGGUUUUACUGUCUCUUACUUCCAAUCAAUGAAAUUGACCUCCCCGUGAAGAGGCGGGGAUAAAUAAAUAAGACGAGAAGACCCUAUGGAGCUUUAACUAAUUAGACCAAAGAAAACAAAUUUAAUCCACCAAGGAAUAACAACAACCUCUAUGGACUAACAGUUUUGGUUGGGGUGACCUCGGAGAACAAAAAAUCCUCCGAGCGAUUUUAAAGACUAGACCCACAGGUCAAAUCAAAUAAUCGCUUAUUGAUCCAAAAAAUUUGAUCAACGGAACAAGUUACCCUAGGGAUAACAGCGCA
rnacentral:rRNA from 1 species